CCUACGGGUGGCAGCAGUGAGGAAUAUUGGUCAAUGGACGAGAGUCUGAACCAGCCAAGUAGCGUGAAGUAUGACUGCCCUAUGGGUUGUAAACUUCUUUUAUAAAGGAAUAAAACGAGGCACGUGUGCCUGUUUGCAUGUACUUUAUGAAUAAGGAUCGGCUAACUCCGUGCCAGCAGCCGCGGUAAUACGGAGGAUACGAGCGUUAUCCGGAUUUAUUGGGGUUAAAGGGAGCGUAGAUGGGUUGUUAAGUCAGUUGUGAAAGUUUGCGGCUCAACCGUAAAAUUGCAAUUGAUACUGGCAGUCUUGAGUACAGUAGAGGUAGGCGGAAUUCGUGGUGUAGCGGUGAAAUGCAUAGAUAUCACGCAGAACCCCGAUUGCGAAGGCAGCUUACUAACGUGUGACUGACAUUGAUGCUCGAAAGUGUGGGUAUCAAACAGGAUUAGAUACCCGUGUAGUC
rnacentral:rRNA from 1 species